UUUCGACAAUCAAAUUCUAUCUACGUUGGUGAGAUAUCAAAUCUUAUACAAAGGCUACUUAUCAAUGUUUGAUCGCGCGUUCGUACGAGUAUGAUUCGCGCGAACUUGCGUGCAUUUGCGCUGUAU